UGGAGCCUGCGGUUUAAUUGGACUCAACGCCGGGCAGCUCACCGGAUAAGACAGCUGGAUGAUAGCCGGGCUGAAGACUCUGCUUGACUAGCUGAGAGGAGGUGCAUGGCCGUCGUCAGUUCGUACUGUGAAGCAUCCUGUUAAGUCAGGCAACGAGCGAGACCCACGCCAACAGUUGCCAGCAUGUCCUCCGGGAUGGUGGGACACUGUUGGGACCCGCCUCUGCUAAAGAGGAGGAAGGAAUGGGCAACGGUAGGUCAGCAUGCCCCGAAUUAUCCGGGCUACACGCGGGCUACAAUGGUCAGGACAAUGGGCAUCAACACCGAAAGGUGAAGGCAAUCUCUUAAACCUGUCCUUAGUUCGGAUUGUGGGCUGCAACUCGCCCACAUGAAGCUGGAAUCUGUAGUAAUCGCGUCUCAAAAUGGCGCGGUGAAUAUGUCCCUGCUCCUU
rnacentral:rRNA from 1 species